rnacentral:lncRNA from 1 species
UUUGUUAAACCUUGUAAAUCAUAAUUUCAUACAACCAUUCAAUCAAAUUAAAAUUCCAAGUACAUUUGAAACCACAUUACAAUACAAUACUUGAAUCCAAAAAUCUUAUUUCAACCAUGUACAAAUACCAUCCAUUUCCAUUCAAAUUUCAAUUGAAAUUUCAAAAUCCCAUAACAAAUUUCAAUCAUUCAAUUUCCAAUUACAACCACAAACCAAUUCACGUCUUCAAUUAUAUUCUCAUACAUUCAACAAUUAAUUCAAAUUUCAAACACAAGCCAAACAUUCAACCAUAUAUUCCAUGUGCAAAUACAAUUUUAAUCCAAAAAUUACAAUUUCAACCAAUACACAAUUUAAGUUCCAUAGCAAUCCAUUCCAUUAGCACUUCCCAAGCAGCUCCCAAACAAUUCCACAUGGCCUAUGAUCAUAUUCCAAACAGCUCAAUUACAAUAUUCCAAAUUCAUCCACCUGCAAAAUUUCACAAAUCCAAAUACAUGUCAAAACCAUCCAACCUACAAACAUAACAAAGCAAAAUUUAUUCCAAUAAAAUUCAUUUGCUAAUUUCAUGUUAAUCGGCAAAAUUCAAAACUCAGCAGCUCAAGUCUCACCUGUAUUUCAAAACAAGACCAACUGACAUACAAUUUCAUUUCACUAACCAAAUUGACAAAACCAAUUUCAAUCACUAACUUCACUCUUUAACAAAAACUAAUUUCAUUCAUUUUCACUAACCAGAACCUUCUCUUAACUAAACUAACAGAUUCAUACUAACUUCACUGUUAAUUCAGUGUUAUAAAACUAACGGAAAUUAACGAAUUGUAACAGAAUCACGCCCUAUAAAUUCACACUGCAACUUCAACAAGGGCAUGAUUUCAGUUUCUCAAUUCACACAAUUUUCAUCCUCCAUUUUCUCUCAGAAAUUCACUCUUUACAAACUCUCUGAAUCUCAGAAAUUUAUUCUUCGACAUUCACACGAUUCGUUCUUCUCUCAAUCUCUAAACAAAUCAUUAUGGAAACAAAUAAUAAUGCACAUCAUAGCAGAGAUUUAACAACAAGAAGAAACCGAAGAAGAAGAAAAAAGAGGAAUUUUGUACCUGUUCGUUUUGAAACUCUGAUUCGGUGAGUUUUUUUGCUUCAAUUCGAUUUCAUUUCUUUCUGAUUAUGCACACACGAAGAUGAAUUGAGUUUGAAUGAUGGUUUAUUCAAUUUCGGUGGCGAUGAAGUUUUUAUGUUGCGUUGCUAUUUGGAGACCUGGUUCGUUUGUAUCGGACUUGUUUGCUAUGGAUAAACUGUUUCGGCUGUUCGUAGCUUGGUUCAGUUUGGGCUCAAGCCAAAACUUUUUCUUCAGGAACACCUGCCACAAUGCACACACCC